CGAAUACUUUGGUGGCGACCGGCGCACGGGUGCGUAACGCGUAUGCAACCUACCUUUAACAGGGGCAUAACACUGAGAAAUUGGUACUAAUUCCCCAUAACAUUCGAGAAGGCAUCUUCUUGGGUUAAAAACUCCGGUGGUUAAAGAUGGGCAUGCGUUGUAUUAGCUAGUUGGUGAGGUAACGGCUCACCAAGGCAACGAUACAUAGGGGGACUGAGAGGUUAACCCCCCACAUUGGUACUGAGACACGGACCAA
rnacentral:rRNA from 1 species